CCUACGGGAGACAGCAGUGGGGAAUAUUGGGCAAUGGGCGCAAGCCUGACCCAGCAACGCCGCGUGAAGGAAGAAGGCUUUCGGGUUGUAAAAUUCUUUUAAGAGGGAAGAGCAGAAGACGGUACCUCUUGAAUAAGACACGGCUAACUACGUGCCAGCAGCCGCGGUAAUACGUAGGUGGCAAGCGUUGUCCGGAUUUACUGGGUGUAAAGGGCGUGCAGCCGGGAAGAGAAGUCAGAUGUGAAAUCCCGCGGCUCAACCGCGGAACUGCAUUUGAAACUGUUUUUCUUGAGUACCGGAGAUGUCAUCGGAAUUCCUUGUGUAGCGGUGAAAUGCGUAGAUAUCA
rnacentral:rRNA from 1 species